CGACCGGGUGCGUCCCGAGAUCAAUAAUAGAUUUUGGAUCUGACUGGGUGCGUCCCGAGAUCAGUGAAUGUAGGGAGAAAGUGAGUAACAAUCGAACGUACAUGGGCGCCCUCGACAAGAAAAUAUUUUUGUCAUGCUUAGAAGUGGGAUUUCGUUUUAAAACCUUCUAAGUCAUGAUUUUGAUAUUGGAUAAACUGCCUUAACAUUUCAUAAAAUAUUUCGAAAACUUGUGCCCACUGAGUACAUUAGUACUCAGCCCAAAUUAUUUUCAAAUGUUUUCAGGUUGAUCAGUUGGUGCAGAUGAGGCUGAGCUGAGGCUAAGGUUCCACGAUGUCUUUUGUUUCCGCUAAUAACUAUCUUGUCACCUCAUCCUCCAUCCCCUAAAUUGAGAAUUUCUAUUGUGUGGUAUAAUAUUAUCUUGUUGGGCUUAGACUCUUAACCCAUAUUUCUUUUAAUGAAGCCAUCACUGAUUAUGAUCAGAGUCACGAAACUAAACUUAUGCGAUCCUGAGUUCGAAUAUUGUCAUUUGAUUAGCAUCUCUUAAUGCCUUUUAUUUUAUCUCCUUUCAUCUUAUCUCUUUAGAUAUGCAUACCCGAUUUAAUGGGUAAAUUGGCAAGUUUAUUCAGCUCAAUUAAGUUCUUCAAUUAUUUUCCUAUUUCUUCUUGCCGUGGAAAAGUCGGGUCGUUACA
rnacentral:lncRNA from 1 species